rnacentral:rRNA from 1 species
GAUGAACGCUGGCGGCGUGCUUAACACAUGCAAGUCGAACGGAAAGGCUCCUGCUUGCAGGGGUACUCGGGUGGCGAACGGGUGAGUAACACGUGGGUGAUCUGCCCAGCACUUCGGGAUAAGCCUGGGAAACUGGGUCUAAUACCGGAUAGGACGAUGGUUUGGAUGCCAUUGUGGAAAGUUUUUUCGGUGUGGGAUGAGCUCGCGGCCUAUCAGCUUGUUGGUGGGGUAAUGGCCUACCAAGGCGUCGACGGGUAGCCGGCCUGAGAGGGUGUACGGCCACAUUGGGACUGAGAUACGGCCCAGACUCCUACGGGAGGCAGCAGUGGGGAAUAUUGCACAAUGGGCGCAAGCCUGAUGCAGCGACGCCGCGUGGGGGAUGACGGCCUUCGGGUUGUAAACUCCUUUCGCUAGGGACGAAGCGCAAGUGACGGUACCUGGAGAAGAAGCACCGGCUAACUACGUG